rnacentral:rRNA from 1 species
CCUACGGGAGGCAGCAGUGGGGAAUCUUGCACAAUGGAGGAAACUCUGAUGCAGCGAUGCCGCGUGAGUGAAGAAGGCCUUUGGGUUGUAAAGCUCUUUUGUAGGGGAAGAUAAUGACUGUACCCUAAGGAUAAGGUCCGGCUAACUUCGUGCCAGCAGCCGCGGUAAUACGAAGGGACCUAGCGUAGUUCGGAAUUACUGGGCGUAAAGCGCGCGUAGGCCGUUGAGUUAGUUAAUUGUGAAAUCCCAAAGCUUAACUUUGGAACUGCAAUUAAAACUGCUCGACUAGAGUUUGAUAGAGGAAAGCGGAAUACAUAGUGUAGAGGUGAAAUUCGUAGAUAUUAUGUAGAACACCAGUUGCGAAGGCGGCUUUCUGGAUCAACACUGACGCUGAGGCGUGAAAGUAUGGGUAGCAAAGAGGAUUAGAUACCCUCGUAGUCCAUACCAUAAACGAUGAUUGCUAGAUGUUGGAAAUUUAUUUUACAGUAUCGCAGCUAACGCAUUAAGCAAUCCGCCUGGGGAGUACGCGCAAGGUUAAACUCAAAGGAUUGAACGGNUGNGAGUGCGAGAGACGACGAGGAGAG